GACGAACGCUGGCGGCGUGCUUAACACAUGCAAGUCGAACGGAAAGGCCCUGCUUUUGUGGGGUGCUCGAGUGGCGAACGGGUGGGUAACACGUGAGUAACCUGCCCUUGACUUUGGGAUAACUUCAGGAAACUGGGGCUAAUACCGGAUAGGAGCUCCUGCUGCAUGGUGGGGGUUGGAAAGUUUCGGCGGUUGGGGAUGGACUCGCGGCUUAUCAGCUUGUUGGUGGGGUAGUGGCUUACCAAGGCUUUGACGGGUAGCCGGCCUGAGAGGGUGACCGGCCACAUUGGGACUGAGAUACGGCCCAGACUCCUACGGGAGGCAGCAGUGGGGAAUAUUGCACAAUGGGCGGAAGCCUGAUGCAGCAACGCCGCGUGCGGGAUGAAGGCCUUCGGGUUGUAAACCGCUUUCGCCUGUGACGAAGCGUGAGUGACGGUAAUGGGUAAAGAAGCACCGGCUAACUACGUG
rnacentral:rRNA from 1 species